CACCCCCACCAUCGACGACCCUCACCAUAGAAGAGGUUGAGCUCGUCCUCCCCUCUCCCUCCCAUGGAUCUCUCUCGCCCCUCUCGAAGCUCCCGCAUCCCACCCUGCACCCUCCCCCUUCUACUCCCAAACCCCGCGGCCCGGAUCAGAUUCCUCAAAUUCUGAUCUACCAGAUCGAAGCGGAGUGGGGGCGGGUGCGAGCUCGUUGGUGCUAGGCGGCCGCACGGCGGGGUCGCUGCUAGGGGCCAUGCUCAUGGUGCUCUUCAACGUCAUCAGCGCCGACGAGGCCUACGCUGCCGUAGACCAUGUCCCAGCCGCGUCGCCCGGACGGCUCCGUUCUUCCUGACGUGGCCAUCUGUGACGCGCACUGCUGCCACCCGGUGAAGCCUGCCUCCAUCAAUGGUGACGCCAAGGCGCCUAACGGCGUCGAGAUCCACCAGCAGUGGGGCAACGUGAACGACAGGGUGACGACCAAGGAGGAGGACGAGUAUUGUCGCUUCAAGUUCAACUCGGCGGAGGGUGAUGACUUGUACCUGGUUUUUUGCCGUGGCCACUGCCCUGGCUUAGAUAGGAAAUCUUCUUCUUUUGUUUGCGAUGUUGUUGGGCUGGUUGUGGCCUCGUGUGCGGCAGCAACGGCCUCCCUCCUGUAACCUCUAUCGAUGGCCAUGGCAUGGCGACCUCCACGGACGAGGAAAGGAGAGGAGGACAAGAAGUCCCUGACGCCAAGUACUCCUCAGGGUCCCAACACAAGGACAAGCAGCGGCAACAACAUCUUCUUCCAUUCAGCCCAAGGACAAGCAGCAGCAGCGACCAUAUCAGAUGCAGACAUGUAGGGGAGGACGAUGAUGCUCAACAACAGUAGCAGCUCAAGGCGGCGGUGCUGAUUAGAUUUGAUCCUCAAGGACACCCAUGGAUCUUGAUGCAUGUGGUGGGUUUUGGAGAACCAACUUGAGAUGCAGGAGGUGGGUUCUUGAGCUGUGCUCUGCUCGAGCAGGAGGGGUUUGCUCCUUUGCUCCUAGGGCGACCAAGAGGUCUUGCCCUGAGCUGAAGCACGUCCAUGCCGACCCACCACGACAG
rnacentral:rRNA from 1 species